GACGAACGCUUUCUUCGUGCUUAACACAUGCAAGUCGAACGGAAAGGCCCUGCUUUUGUGGGGUGCUCGAGUGGCGAACGGGUGAGUAACACGUGAGUAACCUGCCCUUGACUUUGGGAUAACUUCAGGAAACUGGGGCUAAUACCGGAUAGGAGCUCCUGCUGCAUGGUGGGGGUUGGAAAGUUUCGGCGGUUGGGGAUGGACUCGCGGCUUAUCAGCUUGUUGGUGGGGUAGUGGCUUACCAAGGCUUUGACGGGUAGCCGGCCUGAGAGGGUGACCGGCCACAUUGGGACUGAGAUACGGCCCAGACUCCUACGGGAGGCAGCAGUGGGGAAUAUUGCACAAUGGGCGGAAGCCUGAUGCAGCAACGCCGCGUGCGGGAUGACGGCCUUCGGGUUGUAAACCGCUUUCGCCUGUGACGAAGCGUGAGUGACGGUAAUGGGUAAAGAAGCACCGGCUAACUACGUG
rnacentral:rRNA from 1 species